AGAAAAGCUGAUUGUCAGCUCUGGACCUGAGAGAGGAUGUUGGCCACAGUAGGCAAGGGCUUCAGAUCCCAGGGGACAGAGAUAAUUGCACAGAAGAAACUGAGGGGUGGGAUGUGUUUUCAUAGGGUUUUAAUGCCUGGAUGCUGCUUGAGAUGAAACAGAAGUAAAAAAGCUCCUCUGUAGAUGGUCUAAAACAAAGGAGGCACUCUGGGAAACCAGGGCUGUUGGGGAGCUCCUGGUGAUCCUUCUCACCUUCAGCAGAUAUGCUGAGGAGGCAAUCUCAGAUCAGAUCCAGUGCAUCUUGGCAGAAUGAGGGAUGUCUACCUCAGGAACAAGAAGAAUACCUCUGUCUGAGAGGGACUGGGCUUCCCAGAGGGGUUUGGAGCUACUUUAACCUGGGCUACAUGAAGCCCAAUGAACCUCAUCUUAAUCUGAAGAUUCACCCUGCUUUGAAAAGAGGGCUGGACCAGAUGACCUCCCUUCUGGUUUGAAGUGCCCUCUGAGACUACGAAACCCACAUGUUCCUACAGAGUACCUUGACUGGGAAGCUUUGUUGGAGAGGAGCAGAGUGGAGCAGCUGAAGACACCAAACUGAAAUUGAAGUUGUGUGUGUCAGGGAGAGCAUGGCUUGGGGACCACUCAUUUAAGAAGAUAAAUCCUAGAUUCUA